GAUGAACGCUGGCGGCGAGCCUAAUACAUGCAAGUCGAGCGAACAGACGAGGAGCUUGCUCCUCUGACGUUAGCGGCGGACGGGUGAGUAACACGUGGAUAACCUACCUAUAAGACUGGGAUAACUUCGGGAAACCGGAGCUAAUACCGGAUAAUAUAUUGAACCGCAUGGUUCAAUAGGGAAAGACGGUUUUGCUGUCACAUAUAGAUGGAUCCGCGCCGCAUUAGCUAGUUGGUAAGGUAACGGCUUACCAAGGCAACGAUGCGUAGCCGACCUGAGAGGGUGAUCGGCCACACUGGAACUGAGACACGGUCCAGACUCCUACGGGAGGCAGCAGUAGGGAAUCUUCCGCAAUGGGCGAAAGCCUGACGGAGCAACGCCGCGUGAGUGAUGAAGGUCUUCGGAUCGUAAAACUCUGUUAUUAGGGAAGAACAAAUGUGUAAGUAACUAUGCACGUCUUGACGGUACCUAAUCAGAGAGCCACGGCUAACUACGUG
rnacentral:rRNA from 1 species